rnacentral:hammerhead_ribozyme from 1 species
AUCCAGCUGACGAGUCUCAAACAGGACGAAGUAUGCAUGCUUGCAGGAU